GGGGCUCCACCCAUUGAGCAUUUUAUUCUUCAAUAAAGUUGUUCUUCUUCCAGGACUUAAUGGGAACCAAAGGUCAGUGGGACGCCUCGCAUUCGGCGCUAUUGGGAAGACUACAAAUGAAGCUGUGUAGGGUGAUAUGGGCUAGACUAUUUUUGAAGUGAGGGAAGCUCAUAGUAAAAUUGAUUAUGAAGAGCGACUGAAGAAUAUGGAAGAAAGUGAAACGGCUGGGAGACAGGUAUCUGUACAGGAAAAACAUUGAUUCACAGCGGAGUAUAAAAGAACUAGGAAGCUUGCCAGCAAGUAUGAGGCUUGUAGGGUGGGCAACAGCAAUAAAGAAUGUCAAGCAGAAAGUCGGAGAGGCUGAAAUAAGCUCAUGGGUGGCGGUAAUGGAAAAGAAACCUGCCAUGAGUAACUACUUAAGAGGAAAAAACGAAAUCGGGAAAGAAACAAUUUAUGAUAACUCAAAGGGAAGCUCAUUACUCUUCAAAGCGAGAUAGGGAUGCCUUAGAACACACACCUAUAAGCGAGAUAUAAGAAGGAAGAAAAUGCAUGUGCUUGCUGUGGUAAAGCUAAGGAAAAUAUGGAGCAUGUUUUAUUAGAAUGUGAAGACAUGUACCAUGCGGUCGAUUUAGGCACCACUGGCCUCCUUGAAGCCCUUGGGUUCAGCGAGAGCAGUGGAAAAGUAAACGUUCGCAACAGAGAUUAGUAAGAGGCGAUUGGAAGUAGGGAAACGACAAAAAACGGAGACGUAGAAAAGCAAAGUUCGCAAUAGGGAGUCAGAAAAUUUUGUUGUGGGAGUUCGGCGUUUUUUUUUUUAAUUUUUUUAAAACCUAGGUACAUGCUUAGGUAGGACAUUACACAGUGUAAUAGCAAGAGCUUGGUAGCGCAACUCACCACCCCGUUCCAAAGGGGAUGCUCAUAACAUCCAUCCAUCCAUGCGAAGAGUUCCACGACCAGGUCCUGGCCGUGACAUCUGCCAUUCAUAAGGCUUAAUGAGCCGCAAGUUACUGAGCUAAUCUAACCCAGUACCAUGUGCGAGUACAUCAUAGAAUAAAGAACAAGUACAUGCUCGCGCAUCAUAGAAGGAGGAAACUCUAUGACGCGCAUAUGACAGCUCCGUGCCAUAAUAUGACCGCUCCGUGCCAUAUGACCGCUCCGUGCCAUAAUAACGGGUUGUGCGUAGUUUAGGAUGAAAUUUUGUCGGGCCUAGUAGUGCGUGUUCGGUCCAUUAUGCGUUGAUGGUGCGUCACGCAUUCGUACUUCGUACUGUAGACGUGGCCUUGGUGGGAGAGGUCAUCCUGAACCGAUGAUAAGCACUUCGCACGUUCGGCACGGCAGCUGUGUCAUUGUGCACUCAACAGAUGGAAACUUACUCCCUGGCUUAUCAGCUGCUUUUUUCUUAAACUUUCUCCUACAAUUACUCAAGCAUUUUUAUUACAUAAGAACACGAAAUUAUCAUUGCUAAUUAGACAUUGUACUCUUGAUCAGUAAGUUUGUUGUUUUUUGUCAUUAUAAAUACAAAUAGUGCUCAGCAUCAUCGAUUUUCCGUGCGACCUCGGGCACGGAUUAAAAAAUUUUACCGGUAUUUUCGAGUGCACGGUAGCACGGAUUCAUUCAUUCGUACACAAGACUGGCGAUUCUUUGUUGCUAAAACUAGUUUAUUGCGCUUCAAUGUCUCGCAUUAUUUAACUUGGGGUGAAGUGAUGUGUUUGCAAGCGAACAUGCAAGCCCGAAAGCUACGUUUCGGUCGUGAGCCAUGCGUCUGCAUUGAAACAGGAACCAAAUUCUGCAACUGAGGACAGCAGUACCGCCAAAAUGUUCCAGACAUGCAGUAAUGAGGACAGCACCAGUAUAAAGCAACACACUCCACGCACUAAAGAGAAGCUGCUGCCUGCUACAACAAGGCCAUUGUGUGGACUUUGGCUGCCACAAGAGUCUGUGCCAAGUACAUCUUGGUUAUCACAGGAGCCCCCAUCUACAGCAACAGAAAGGGGCUGGAGCCGAAUUCGCAAGGCUUUACACCACGAACAAAAAAAGCCAUUCUAGAAGUAUUUGGAUCAAGAGAGAAGAGCCUCUGCCAUCAUUCCACCAGCACGGAUAUAGGCCAAGUCAACCAGCUACCUCAACAACAAAAAAUUCUGAGUCUUCAGAUGUACCUCGAACCUCUGAGCAAGCACAGACGACGCUGGCCAAGAGUUCAGUCAGCUUGCCCUACCUUAACGAGCUUCCUGGCCUUUCCAAAUGCCAUUUGUGCCAAUUAUAAAUAUUUUUUCAGUGGAUGCAAGCUUUUUCAUUCCAUUUUUCAUUCCAUAUUCUUGUGAUCAUUCCCCUUCCUCAUCCAAACAUUACAGGUCAACAUUCUUUGCUCAUACAUAAUACCAGUCAGUCUUGCAGCAUAACAUUUCUGUAGCAGUAUUUUCUAGUGUACGUUGCCAUAUGCAAUUCCUCUCCUGAAAUAGCUGAUGUGGCAUUGGGGUGCGCCUUUGCACCGUGUGCUAUGUAGCCUUGAACUUUUCUUAAUGUUUUUGACUUUCAGUGCUUGCAAGGUAGAGUAGCUUCUUUCUUGAAUGCAAGCUUUCUCAUUCCCAUGUUUAUUUCCUAGUCUCAAUCAGGAUUGCUAAUCUUUCUUGACAGCAAGCAUUUUUGCCCAACCUACAUUGAAGCGAAUGAUUGCGGAAUCUGGUUUCUCUGCUGGCUCGGUACUCAUCACUGUGUUACAUUUCUCAGAUGUGGUGGCCUGGUCAGUUGCAUUGGGCAACAGCCUCUCAAGGUAAGCACCUGCUCCUGCAGUCCACAUGGCAACAUAGGCUCCCUGUUCCUACCUGCCAGCCCUCUAGAUUCGCCCGGGAGACUCCCGCUUUUUUACUGAACUUUCCAAAUGUACAUCACUGUCUUAUAUCUACCGAAAAGUGGUCUCUGUCCGCACAAUAAUGGUUUUUGCGAAACUGGCACCGCGGAAUCUACAGCCACGUCAUAAUCGUCAGCAUCACCAACAACGGCCGCACUAGCACCAUCGGUAUCACCGACUAAGCACCCGACUACGGUGCCUAGUAAGCCGACCAAAGCCACAGCUAAUGUAGCUCUUGUAUUUCAUGCAUGCCUUCCUCCAUGGUGCAUCUUGUUGCUGCUGCUUGGUUCUUUAUUCUAUGCUGCUUGUAUGUAUUAGUGUUGGCUAGGCCAUAUGUGUGCAGUGCACCGUGUAAAGUUACAAGCCUCGUGUGCUUGAUGCCAUGGCGCUAUCAAAGCCCAAGAAAAGGUAUUUGCAGAAGUUUUUGCGAUCUUAUACAUUUGAAUUGCCGUGCUUUUUGACAUCAAGAAAAGGAGAACAUUUUGCAUUUUGUAUAACGUGUGGAUGCGACGUCAGCAUGUCUCACGGUGGCAAAGGAGACUUGAAACUGCACGUUUCCACGGCGAAGCAUCAAAGCUAUGUUCGCACAGCUGAGCAGCAAGACAGCAUAGUGAACUUUCUCUGGAACAACUGCGACGACAGUGUCAUGUGUAGAGUGCCUGUUUACGGGAUUCUUCGUUGAACACGACCUACCCCUUAGUGUCAGCGACCACGUUGCGCCUCUUCCACGAAAAACGUUUCCGAAAUGCGACGAGGCGAAGCAUUAUGGAUGUGGACACAACUCUGAAGAAUGCGGAGGUGGCCAACCUGAAAUUUAUUUCACAGGCAUCGCUCUCGAGUCUUCGUUUCUUUAUUUAGCGUUUCCCUCAGCUACUGCCCCGAGAUUCCAAUGAAUCUGUUAAAAGACAGAUGCUCUCGAAGCUGAGCUUACCACACUACAGGCGUACAGUCUUCAACAGGACAUUCUGAAUGGAGAAAGGUGGGACGUGCAGUGGUCUAUGGUUGGAAAAAUGAAAAACACUGAUGGAAAACAUGUUUCACGGAGUCGCUAAGGUGAUGCUCAAUUUACUCGUGAUACCGCAUAGUGUGAGAGGAUCUUUAGCACGGCACGAACUAGGACUGAAUUCUGCUUGUCAACGUGCAACCCUCCAACACAGGCUGCUAGCGAAGGGCCAUCAGUCUGGACCAUGUUUUAAUAAGCAAAGCUACUCGGACAAAUUUUUGAAGUGAGCAAAGUCUGCUACAAGGUCCCUGCAAAAGGACUCGUCGAACAUCGCCUGAAAGUGAACGAAACCUAGUUCAGCGGCGUAGAAAAUCUUGUCAGUGACGCAGAACAGGUGACUUGUCAUACGGCAAGAGUCACCGGCCACCAUCAGUGACUCUGCAGCAUGUUUCCCUGCUGCAAAGGGAAUGGCACUGACGUGCACUGGCACCAAAUUUUUUGCGAAACCAGCAGUAUGCACCGUGACGAGGGCCAGUAUGGAAGCUGAACCAAGGAGGGAAUCUGGAACGGCAAUCGCAGUCAUGCUAGUGACAAUGGAGUGAUGACCGUAGUGCAGUGAUGGUCUCAGCAAGUUCGUCGACCAUUUGCUCAAGGCAAACUGCUGAUCUUCGAGGUGCGACAGCAGAACGGCCAUCGUUGCCACGGUACGUCUUGCUGAAUAGUCAGCAAUGCGGUCGGCCAGCUUGGCAAGAUUGCAGGGCCAUGUCUUCUGGUGUGGUAGUCAAGGUGACCACCAGAUCCUGCGGCAGUUCAUGCUGCAGCGGGCUGUUUGCACCCAACCUAUAGCCACCGAGAAGCCACCGCAUACGACGUAGAAAUUCCAACAGUUGAUGGUUACAGAGCUCCUCUUUGCUGAGAAGCUGCUGGAGGCACCUGUGCACAGACAGAAACUUGCAGCACCAUUGUUUUUGGUGGUGUCAUGGGGUACAUCCACAGCACCUUGGAACUCGCCGACUACCUCUGCAAAUAGUGCCAUGACAGCAUGGAAGAACCUCCCAUGCUGCAAGGUAAUGCGCCAAAGGUCAAUAAUAGCCCCCACAUAAAUAAACCAGGCUGCAGGAUUUUGUGGUCAAUAGCACAGAAGGUGAAUUUGCACCCUGGCAAAGCCUUCUGUGCUGGCUGUCAGUCUCUCGUUCAUGGCCUCAUCCACGACAUCAUGCUCUCCGUACAAUCGCAUCCGGUCACCACAUUACAGGAACCAAGCAAGCUCUGAACCAAGCCACCUAUGGCUGUGUGUGGAACUUGUACAGACAGUUCCCAUAGCAGCUGAACUGUGAAGCAGCUUUACUGUCACAUUCAAUACGAGCUGCGAGAUGGUGCCCAUGGUUGAAAGGGCCCUCAAGACGACAUUAGAAAAAUUUGAGCUCUACGUAGUAUUAAUUACUGGUAUUUGUCAAACCCAUUUUUGGCUACGUCGGUGCCACCAGGCAAUUGUGAAGAUCCUUUGAGCACAGGCAGUGUUGCCGCUCAUACUGAAUGUGAAUGCGCAUUGCAUUUUCUCUACGUUUUCUGCGAAAUAACUGCCGCCGAAAAUCUUGCCCCUCCGACCAUGCUUUCAACAGAAAGUGCCAUGCCAAGAUACUACAUCGUCGUUUGUUCCUGCUCCAAUACGGCAUAACAACACUUCCCGAUCAUCACCGUUGGCUGAAGACAUUCAGCCAGAAACUUCAUACUCUAAACAAUCUGCAAGAAAAAGAAAGCUUUCCACUGCUACUUUCUGCAACAGUGAACAGGCCUUUCAGUUUCUUCUUACAACACUUUAAGAAACAACGGUUUCUUGGAACAGACACUGAAUCAGUGUAGUUCCCACGUGCAGCAGUUCUGCAUUUGGCCAAAUGCAGAGUAGAAAAACAGAAAAACAAGUCGUCAGAUUUUACCCUCGGCCAUCCAUUUUGCCCUAUUUUGCCAUUGUAAAACACGCUCUAGAAGCCUUCUGUUCUGCAGCGUAAGCUAAUGAGGAUGC